CAGGAGAGGACGCUUCGGUGCGGGGUGGGGAGGGGGGCAGCGUGGUCUCCACGUGGAGAGAGAGACUGCGCCUCGGAUAAAGAGUCAAGCAGAGACGAGAUUCCCCCCCUUUCUUGACUUAAAAAUGGCAUUGAAAAAAGGAAUCAACUAGUAGAAAGAAAACAGAAAUGCCCCCUAACACAAGACCCAGAAAACCCUUCUGACAGCAAGACCGUAAUCCGUGCUUUUCAAAUCUAUUACACCGAUCCUACGUCUUCCCCGCCGCAGACACGGAAACCUGUCCCCAAAUAGCCCGGCGGCAGCACCCGCCAUCCACUGACCAGCAUCGACAAGAAGGGAAGCCCCCGGCCGGACCGUAGAGACGCAGGGUCCCCGCUGUCCCCAGACCUCGCGGGCAGCUUGGCACACAGCGCGUCCUUCGUAAAAACGAGCUUCGGUGAUUCUGAUUCCGUUCUCGCCUAGGUCCGAACCAUUUCUUUGCUCAUAGAAGAAGGCAUUUUCCUGCUCUCCGGGUCCCGGGGGGACAUUAUUGGGGUAGGUUCACGGGUCGGUGGUGUUGAGAGCCAAGUAGUAAGGAGUCCAGGAGAUGAUGGAAUACAGAGAACUGGAAAAGCAUAAAGCAGGAACCUGCAGAGUGGGAACGGAAGGUCUGAAGCACAGGAGCAAACUAACGGCAUCGAGGUCAAGUCAAGUCAACCUAAACUCUGAGGGUAGGUACUGCCCCCCACCCCGCCCCGUAAUAAGCACCUUUUGUUCAGAUCACAAAGUAUAUCUUCCCUACACGUGUGGAUAGAAAACGUGUACAGGUAAGAAAGCAAUAAUAAGCACUCGUGUGCCCACCACCCAGGCCAAGAGAUAGAACGUGACCGUCCUCGGAAGCCACUCUGUGCCCUCCCCGAUUGAACCCCCCCUCAGCGGUAACCACUGUCCUGCAGUUGGAAUUAUUCUGUUUUCUUCCAGUCGCCACAACCUACGUGUCCCUGUGUUGGAACAGGGAAGGAUGGAAGGGAACAGGGAACCUAGAAGAGUACUGUGUGUUUACAAAAAAAGUAGGGCUCCUGCUGGCUCCGGGGGCUAACUAAGCGUCUGGCUUUUGACUCGGGUCCAGGUCAUGAUGUCACAGUUCGCGGGCUAGAGCCCCGCAUCGGGCUCUGUGCUGACAGCACGGAGCCCGGAGCCUGCUUCGGAUUCUGUGUCUCCCUCUCUCCCUGCUCUUUCCCUGCUCACACUCUGUCUCUGUCUCUGUCUCUCUCAAAAAUAAAGGUUAAACAAAUAAAG
rnacentral:lncRNA from 1 species